ACGUAGGGUGCGAGCGUUAAUCGGAAUUACUGGGCGUAAAGCGUGCGCAGGCGGCUUUGCAAGACAGAUGUGAAAUCCCCGGGCUUAACCUGGGAACUGCAUUUGUGACUGGCAGGCUAGAGUAUGGCAGAGGGGGGUAGAAUUCCACGUGUAGCAGUGAAAUGCGUAGAGAUGUGGAGGAAUACCGAUGGCGAAGGCAGCCCCCUGGGCCAAUACUGACGCUCAUGCACGAAAGCGUGGGGAGCAAACAGGA
rnacentral:rRNA from 1 species